UGUUGGGCACAUGCGGAUGCCACGUCAGUGCGACCUAGGGCCUCAACCAACAACACCUAGAUAGCCGAAGUCAUGCGCGGUACGUCAGGCAGAUGGCUGGCUCACACUGGGAGGGGAGGUGCACAACCCCCCAUCUCCAUCAUCACGUAUCGUGUUGGUGUUGACUCGGGCUUCACAGGGCAUGAACAGUGUGGAGUUGGGAGAGGCUGUCUUUGAGUGAUUACGGUCGAGUCACAAAUUAUUGCAAGAAGGCGCUUACCGAGAACGUCGCUCGAACGUGAAGACACUGGAGGAAGAGGCGCUUCAACUGUUGAACAAGAAAAUUGAUUACUCUCACUCUCACUUUUCUCGUAUUCGGAAAAACACAUGUUCCAUGUAUGUGCGUAGG